GACGAACGCUGGCGGCGUGCUUAACACAUGCAAGUCGAACGGAAAGGCCCUGCUUUUGUGGGGUGCUCGAGUGGCGAACGGGUGAGUAACACGUGAGUAACCUGCCCUUGACUUUGGGAUAACUUCAGGAAACUGGGGCUAAUACCGGAUAGGAGCUCCUGCUGCAUGGUGGGGGUUGGAAAGUUUCGGCGGUUGGGGAUGGACUCGCGGCUUAUCAGCUUGUUGGUGGGGUAGUGGCUUACCAAGGCUUUGACGGGUAGCCGGCCUGAGAGGGUGACCGGCCACAUUGGGACUGAGAUACGGCCCAGACUCCUACGGGAGGCAGCAGUGGGGAAUAUUGCACAAUGGGCGGAAGCCUGAUGCAGCAACGCCGCGUGCGGGAUGACGGCCUUCGGGUUGUAAACCGCUUUCGCCUGUGUCGAAGCGUGAGGGACGGUAAUGGGUAAAGAAGCACCGGCUAACUACGU
rnacentral:rRNA from 1 species